rnacentral:rRNA from 1 species
CCUACGGGUGGCAGCAGUGAGGAAUAUUGGUCAAUGGACGCAAGUCUGAACCAGCCAUGCCGCGUGCAGGAAGACGGCUCUAUGAGUUGUAAACUGCUUUUGUACGAGGGAAAAGGCAGAUACGUGUAUCUGUCUGAAAGUACCUUACGAACAAGGAUCGGCUAACUCCGUGCCAGCAGCCGCGGUAAUACGGAGGAUUCGAGCGUUAUCCGGAUUUAUUGGGUUUAAAGGGUGCGUAGGCGGUCGGUUAAGUCAGAGGUGAAAUCCCGGGGCUCAACGUCGGAAUUGCCUUUGAUACUGAUCGGCUAGAGAGUGGGUGCGGUAGGCGGAAUGUAUGGUGUAGCGGUGAAAUGCUUAGAGAUCAUGCAGAACACCGAUGGCGAAGGCAGCUUACCGGGCUACUUCUGACGUUGAGGCACGAAAGCGUGGGGAGCAAACAGGAUUAGAUACCCGGGUAGUC